UGAUGACGCUUUGUUAUUGCAUGUUUUAUAUCGAAGAAAUGAAGCAAAACACGUCAAAGAUAAGCAAAAGUGAAGAAUAAAGACCAAAGAAAUAUGAAAAAAAUACCAAGUAUGAAGAAAAAAAGAUUUAGUCAAAACCUAAUGGAAAAAGGAGAAAAAAUGUGCAACUACUAGAAUAAUCACACGCAGUAUUGCGCGCGUGAUAGAGAUGUAUUGUCAACAUCGCGCGCACGAUGAGGGAUAUCACGUGCGUGAUAGGUCCUUUUCUGACGUGUUAUGGACUGAUUUCACAACUUUAUAAGGGAAUUUUU
rnacentral:lncRNA from 1 species